CUGGAUUCCAAAAGGAUUGAAUCGAAUAUGAAUCUUCUUUUCUGGAUAAAAAACCAAGAAGCUUAAAUGAAAGAUAAGCAAAAAAUCCUUUCGAAUUGUGUUUAUCCAUCUACUCUGAUGUAUUCAUAACUCUAAUAUUUAUGUUUUGUCUGGUCAGGGUAAAAUUUCUUUGAAUUCGACGCUAAUUGGACUCGGCAAUUGGAUUGAAGGAGGAGUAUGGACAUAUUGGGUGUGCUAAUCGCAAUACCUUUUGGUUAACAUAAAAGUUUUAAAUGAAAGUUACAAAUACCUUACAAAAUGGGACGUGUAGUGAAGAGGAAAUCUAUACACUCUCCUGGUAAGUACUAUUCAGGUUUUACAGGUUUUAUAGCAAAAAAGACCAAAAUACAAGGAAAAUAUGUUUCAGGACAGAUUCAGAGCUCUGUAGUACGGCCCAAUUUCGAAGAACUUCCAGAACUCAAAUUAUAUCAUGCUUGGUGUCUAUCGAAUAUAGCUGAGAGAGUCAUCUUUCUCCUCGAAGAAGAAUCAAGUCAAUC